GUGGGGAAUUUUGGACAAUGGGCGCAAGCCUGAUCCAGCAAUGCCGCGUGCAGGAAGAAGGCCUUCGGGUUGUAAACUGCUUUUGUACGGAACGAAACGGUCCUGGUUAAUACCUGGGGCUAAUGACGGUACCGUAAGAAUAAGCACCGGCUAACUACGUGCCAGCAGCCGCGGUAAUACGCAGGGUGCGAGCGUUAAUCGGAAUUACUGGGCGUAAAGCGUGCGCAGGCGGUGCUGUAAGACAGGCGUGAAAUCCCCGGGCUAAACCUGGGAAUUGCGCUGGUGACUGCAGUGCUGGAGUACGGCAGAGGGGGAUGGAAUUCCGCGUGUAGCAGUGAAAUGCGUAGAUAUGCGGAGGAACACCGAUGGCGAAGGCAGUCCCCUGGGCCUGUACUGACGCUCAUGCACGAAAGCGUGGGGAGCAAACAGGAUUAGAAACCCUAGUAGUCC
rnacentral:rRNA from 1 species